UUCAUAUCAGCAGCUACAAGUCUUUUAAAUUUGAGGUUGAGCUUUUGAAAUUUGACACAACAUUUUUGAAACUUGAAAUUCUGCUUUUGAAAUUGGAGAGCCUAAAUGCUAACGUACUAUGGUAGGCUGUUUUAACAUUUGAUCAAAUUUCCGUUUAAACCUGACGCUGCCAGCCGAGGCGCCGGCCACACACGAGCCCGGACGGGACUAAAGGGGCUCAGAACCCCUAAAGACGGACCGAUGAGUGACAGGGCGCAGCUGCCGUCGGGUUUUCAUUCUGCACGUUGACAUUAUAAGGUCGUCAAGAACAGGAAAUGAGCGCUGAGGAUGUGACAUGUCACUUGACUUCUGUCAGGGCUGACACGCCGCGGCGACAGUUCGCUCUUGUCGCUCACACGAGUCACGUCACGAUGCUCGUCUGGCGCGGCGUCUUUCUUUGCCUUCUCCUCGGCAGGGCUCUGGCUCUGACGAUGACUCAAGACAAGCUCUCUAUGACCAAAGGACCCGGCAAGACCGUUCGAAUAGGCUGCAAGUCGGAUGGCAGCCCCAGCUACAUUCACUGGUAUCGACAGAAAGGCAGCGGAGAUUUGGAGCGAAUUUUGUACGUACAGACGAGCACAGGAGCCGAGAGCUACGACAUCGGAGACAGCGAAAGGUUCAAAGCUGACGACAAAGGCUUAAUUCUGCGUAUAGACAGAGCUGUGAAUGGCGACACGGCGACGUAUUAUUGUGCCGCAUGGGACAGCCACAGUGACGCAAACCACGGGGACCCCCUCACAAAAACAUCCGCCCGGUUAAACAAAGCUGCUGCUAAACCGAAUGGCCUUGUCCGCCUCAUAACGAACACACCCGGGUCGAUGAACGCCGCUCUUCUGAAACGAAUGGCAGCCUUGGAGGUGUCGGGAAUCCUUUGGUGCCCCGUGAACAGCGGGUAAUGGUGUGCCUUAUGCGCAUGCGUAGAAAGGAAACUCGAAAAGCAGCGCAGCGCGGACGAAACUUCUGCGUUAUUGAGGGUCGCGCUCGUGCCACGGGAAAGUGCUGACCACCGUGGAAAGGCAACGGGCAGCGGUGGUCUCGACAUUUGAUAAAAACACCGCAAAUGAUAAACGAAAAAAAAAAAA